rnacentral:rRNA from 1 species
AGUCUGGUGCCAGCAGCCGCGGUAAUUCCAGCUCCAAUAGCGUAUAUUAUAGUUGUUGCAGUUAAAAAGCUCGUAGUUGAAUUUCGGGAUCAAUAUAUCGGUCGUGCCUUGGUACGUACUGGUAUCAUUGGUUUCUCCUUUCUGACGAACCAUGAUGUCAUUAAUUUGGUGUUAUGGGAAGUUAGGACUGUUACUUUGAAAAAAUUAGAGUGUUUAAAGCAGGCUUUAGCUUGAACACAUUAGCAUGGAAUAAUGAAAUAGGACGUUCGAACCUAUUUUGUUGGUUUCUAGGAUCAACGUAAUGAUUAAUAGGGAUAGUUGGGGGCAUUAGUAUUCAAUUGUCAGAGGUGAAAUUCUUGGAUUUAUUGAAGACUAACUACUGCGAAAGCAUUUGCCAAGGAUGUUUUCAUUAAUCAAGAACGAAAGUUAGGGGAUCGAAGACGAUCAGAUACCGUCGUAGUCUUAACCAUAAACUAUGCCGACUAGGGAUCGGAUGAUGUUAAUUUUUUAAUGACUCAUUCGGCGCCUUACGGGAAACCAAAGUGUUUGGGUUCCGGGGGGAGUAUGGUCGCAAGGCUGAAACUUAAAGGAAUUGACGGAAGGGCACCACCAGGGGUGGAGCCUGCGGCUUAAUUUGACCCAACACGGGGAAACUCACCAGGUCCAGACAUAGUAAGGAUUGACAGACAGAGCUCUUUCUUGAUUCUAUGGGUGGUGGUGCAUAGCCGUUCUUAGUUGGUGGAGUGAUUUGUCUGGUUAAUUCCGUUAACGGACGAGACCUUAACCUGCUAAAUAGCUAGGCUUAACUUUGUUAGGUCGUCAGCUUCUUAGAGGGACUAUCGGUGUUUAACCGAUGGAAGUUUGAGGCAAUAACAGGUCUGUGAUGCCCUUAGAUGUUCUGGGCCGCACGCGCGCUACACUGAUGAAGUCAACGAGUUCAUUUCCUUUAUCGGAAGAUAUGGGUAAUCUUUUGAAACUUCAUCGUGCUGGGGAUAGAGCAUUGCAAUUAUUGCUCUUCAACGAGGAAUCCCUAGUAAGCACAAGUCAUCAGCUUGUGCUGAUUACGUCCCUGCCCUUUGUACACACCGCCCGUCGCUACUACCGAUUGAAUGGCUUAGUGAGACCCUCGGAUUGACGUUCAUCGGCUGUAAAAGGCUCUUGUCCGUUGAAAAGUUGGUCAAACUUGGUCAUUUAGAGGAAGUAAAAGUC